AAUUCAAUGAUCUUCUUUCCUUCUUGCGUUCCUGAUAUAUAGGAGUGAUUUGCGACACGGCUUGAUUGAUCCAUCAUCAAAAUUUUCUGAUCUCUUUCUCCAUAGACUCUCCUUAAUUUACGAACUGACUUUCCCAUAUCAGCUGCGUUUGAUCUUAUUUCCUUUUGAUAGCAUUGCCUCCCUGAUUUCCUGCAAUCAAUUAGAGUAGAUUAGAUUUGCACAAUUGUCAUCAUUAAAACUUAGGUGUAACAACUUGGUUUAACGAUUAAUCAACAACUGAAGUCUUCUCAAUUAUUCAAGAUCUAGCAUUGUUUCAACGACAUCAUGAUACGUCCGUUCUGAACAAAGCAAUUCGUGAUGAAAAAGAACUGAAUUUGAAAAAGUACCUGAUUGUGAAAUAGAGAUUGCAUGUUUCUGACCAUUUAUGCUCUUUCUUGUGAUUCCAUGAAUUGACUUGAGUUUAAGAACAACGAACAGAAGAUUGAACAACUGCAACAAUGACAAUGUAUCAACGGCCUAAUCGAGCUACUUGAAAAGUAAAGGAGGAAAUCCAUAAAAUAAACGGAAAAAGCCUAAAAAUGCCACUCAACUUUCAGAAAUGGUUUAUCCAUGCCAUCCGUUAAAAAAAUGUUAUUUCCAUGCCACUGUCGUUAAAGAAAUGGCUCAUCCAU
rnacentral:lncRNA from 1 species